rnacentral:rRNA from 1 species
AACGAACGCUGGCGGCAUGCCUAACACAUGCAAGUCGAACGCUCCGCAAGGGGAGUGGCGAACGGGUGAGUAACGCGUGGGAACCUGCCCAGUAGUUGGGGGAUAACCGCGGGAAACUGCGGCUAAUACCGAAUACGCCCUAAGGGGGAAAGAUUUAUCGCUAUUGGAGGGGCCCGCGUCGGAUUAGCUGGUUGGUGAGGUAACGGCUCACCAAGGCGACGAUCCGUAGCUGGUCUGAGAGGANGAUCAGCCACACUGGGACUUAGACACGGCCCAGACUCCUACGGGAGGCAGCAGUGGGGAAUAUUGGACAAUGGGGGCAACCCUGAUCCAGCAAUGCCGCGUGAGUGAUGAAGGCCUUAGGGUUGUAAAGCUCUUUUUACC